GCGGAUGGCUGGAUGACCGCGGGCGUGCUUUGCGCGUUCGAGGAAAGUCCGGGCUCCAUGCAGGCACGGUGCCGGGUAACGCCCGGCGGGGGCGGCACGGCAAGCCCCACCGGGAGCAAUGCCGAAUAGGGAUCGCGCGCGGGGGCAACCCCGCAGGGCCGCCUGCGCCCCAGCAGAUCCGGGUUGGCAGCUAGAUCUCGUCGGCAACGGCGGGGGCAGAGGAAUGGUCAUCCAGGGGGCAACCCCGGACAGAACCCGGCUUACAGGCCAUCCGCGCAG
rnacentral:RNase_P_RNA from 1 species